UUGUGGGGUUGGAGAGCUGGCUG
rnacentral:miRNA from 1 species